CCGUUAAGCCAGGGCGAAGUAAGCCAUAGCUAUAGACCGAGGGACCUGAAGAAAGGAUAUUCAGCAGAUGUAGAGGCGGCCACAAGAAUUUCAAGGUGCAGUUUUAUAAGCAUUUCCAGCAAAACCAGUAACUGGUAAAACACCAUCAAACACGAUGCACGGGCAACUGGGCACUUCCUUGGAUUCCAGCAGCCCCAUCCCUACUCCUGCUGUCACCGACGUGACUCCCGGGGCCCUCCACUUUGUGCCGGCACGUUAUGCGGAAGGGCCCCCGCCCUAGAAAUGGCUGAAAGGGGAGAAGCAGAGUUGAGGCUUUGUGACGCCAGCAGGACUCUACAUCUGGCGUUUUCGAAACCGUGUCGUCAUUCACAGAAUUUCCUGGCCACCUCUGUUUUGGACAUAGCCAUGACCAUGGUCCAGCGCCUCCAAACUUGAAACAGAAGACGACUUGCCCGCGAGCCCCUUUAUUUCGAGUCUUGCUUCAAGUACAGCUGUCCCCUCGGGCUACCCGGGACGUCCCUGGGGCCCACCAAGUUCAAGGGUCACUUUUUAAAUUCCUGUUUGGUCUCUAGUGCACUUGAACUCUAUGGGCUACAUCUCUCUUUAAGCUUUUUCUCUUCCCCAGUGCACCCCUCGCUCCAGUUUUUCCCUGAGACUAUAAACACCCAGGUUGUCAACCUUACUAUAUGUUAUCUGUAGACUCGGUAAGAGAGUCGGUCCCGAGAGCUGGGCCCCAGCCCUUGCUUUGCUCAGUAGGGACGUAGUCAUUGUACUGCACACCGAGUGAUCUAACCACGUUGACGGCUGAGUGUGCCUGUGAUGAGGUCCGAAUCUGCACGCAUAGGCGUUUCUGGACAUCUCCGCUUGAACCUCAUUAUGACCUAUCCAAAUCAGAACACAAACCCUCAAAACUU